rnacentral:rRNA from 1 species
UACAGAGGUCUCAAGCGUUGUUCGGAUUCAUUGGGCGUAAAGGGUGUGUAGGUGGCGCGCUAAGUCGGGUGUGAAAUUUCGGAGCUUAACUCCGAAACUGCAUUCGAUACUGGCGUGCUUGAGGACUGGAGAGGAGACUGGAAUUCAUGGUGUAGCAGUGAAAUGCGUAGAGAUCAUGAGGAAGACCAGUGGCGAAGGCGGGUCUCUGGGCUGAUACUGACGCUGAGGAGCGAAAGCGUGGGGAGCAAACAGG